rnacentral:rRNA from 1 species
CAGUCGCCGCGGUAAUACGUAGGGUGCGAGCGUUGUCCGGAAUUAUUGGGCGUAAAGAGCUUGUAGGUGGUUUGUCGCGUCUGCUGUGAAAAUCCGAGGCUCAACCUCGGGCUUGCAGUGGGUACGGGCAGACUAGAGUGUGGUAGGGGAGACUGGAAUUCCUGGUGUAGCGGUGGAAUGCGCAGAUAUCAGGAGGAACACCGAUGGCGAAGGCAGGUCUCUGGGCCAUUACUGACACUGAGAAGCGAAAGCAUGGGGAGCGAACAGGAUUAGAUACCCCCGUAGUCCCUGUCUCUUAUAC